rnacentral:rRNA from 1 species
AUUGAACGCUGGCGGCAGGCCUAACACAUGCAAGUCGAACGAGUGGCGGACGGGUGAGUAAUGUCUGGGAAACUGCCCGAUGGCGGGGGUUAACUACUGGAAACGGUAGCUAAUACCGCAUACCAUCGGCUGUGCCCAGAUGGGAUUAGCUAGUAGGUGGGGUAAUGGCUCACCUAGGCGACGAUCCCUAGCUGGUCUGAGAGGAUGACCAGGCAGACUGGAACUGGUGAACGGUCCAGACUUCUACGGGAGGCAGGAGGUGGGAAUAUUGCCCAAUGGGCGCAAGCCUGAUGCAGCCAUGCCGCGGGUAUGAAGAAGGCCUUCGGGUUGUAAAGUACUUUCAGCGGGGAGGCGUUACCCGCAGAAGAAGCACCGGCUAACUCCGUGCCAGCAGCCGCGGUAAUUUC